rnacentral:rRNA from 1 species
UACGAAGGGGGCUAGCGUUGCUCGGAAUCACUGGGCGUAAAGCGCACGUAGGCGGACUCUUAAGUCGGAUGUGAAAUCCCCAGGCUUAACCUGGGAACUGCAUCCGAUACUGGAUGGCUUGAAUCCGGGAGAGGGAUGCAGAAUUCCAGGUGUAGCGGUGAAAUGCGUAGAUAUCUGGAGGAAUACCGGUGGCGAAGGCGGCAUCCUGGACCGGCAUUGGCGCUGAGUGAGCGAAAGCUAGGGGAGCAAACGGG